AGAGGAGGGGCCCAUUGCAUCAGGGGCCCAUUACAAUAGAGAAAAUUGGGACAGGGUUGAAGGGUGGGAAUAGUCCUCAUCUUGCCUCUCACACCCUCCAUGGCUCCCAAGGGGCCACCAUAGUGUGACCAUUGCUGCUCUAGGCCAGUCACUCAUUUUGGCAGGGAAGCUGAAACUCAGACAAAGUUUCUCAUCCAUGGCCAUGCAGCCGGUGAGGACAGGGCUGGG
rnacentral:lncRNA from 1 species